rnacentral:rRNA from 1 species
GCGAGCGUUGUCCGGAAUUAUUGGGCGUAAAGAGCUUGUAGGCGGUUUGUCGCGUCUGCKGKGAAAGCCCGGGGCUUAACCCCGGGUCUGCAGUGGGUACGGGCAGGCUAGAGUGUGGUAGGGGAGACUGGAAUUCCUGGKGUAGCGGUGGAAUGCGCAGAUAUCAGGAGGAACACCGAUGGCGAAGGCAGGUCUCUGGGCCACUACUGACGCUGAGAAGCGAAAGCGUGGGGAGCGAACAGGAUUAGAUACCCUGGUAGUCCACGCCGUAAACGUUGGGCGCUAGGUGUGGGUCCCAUUCCACGGGGUCCGUGCCGCAGCUAACGCAUUAAGCGCCCCGCCUGGGGAGUACGGCCGCAAGGCUAAAACUCAAAGGAAUUGACGGGGGCCCGCACAAGCGGCGGAGCAUGCGGAUUAAUUCGAUGCAACGCGAAGAACCUUACCAAGGCUUGACAUGUACCGGAAACUCCCAGAGCYGGGGCCCCGCAAGGUCCUACCCCGGUCCUCCCUG